UUAAGUGACUAAGCGUACAAGGUGGAUGCCUUGGCAAUCAGAGGCGAUGAAGGACGUGCUAAUCUGCGAAAAGCUUGGAUGAGUCGAUAAGAGGCGUUUAAUCCAAGAUGUCCGAAUGGGGAAACCCAGUAGAUGAAGAAUCUACUAUCACUUACUGAAUUCAUAGGUAAGUGAGGCAAACCGGGAGAACUGAAACAUCUAAGUACCCCGAGGAAAAGAAAUCAACCGAGAUUUCGUUAGUAGCGGCGAGCGAACGCGAAGGAGCCUGUUAGUGAUAAUGACAGAGACAGAGGAACAAGCUGGGAAGCUUGGCGAUACAGGGUGAUAGCCCCGUACUCGAAGUCCAGGUCAUGGUACUAAGCUAACGACAAGUAGGGCGGGACACGUGAUAUCCUGUUUGAAGAUGGGGGGACCAUCCUCCAAGGCUAAAUACUCCUGAUUGACCGAUAGUGAACCAGUACUGUGAAGGAAAGGCGAAAAGAACCCCGGUGAGGGGAGUGAAAUAGAACCUGAAACCUUGUACGUACAAGCAGUGGGAGCCCUUUAAGGGUGACUGCGUACCUUUUGUAUAAUGGGUCAGCGACUUAUAUUUUGUAGCGAGGUUAACCGAAUAGGGGAGCCGAAGGGAAACCGAGUCUUAACUGGGCGUCUAGUUGCAAGGUAUAGACCCGAAACCCGGUGAUCUAGCCAUGGGCAGGUUGAAGGUUGGGUAACACUAACUGGAGGACCGAACCGACUAAUGUUGAAAAAUUAGCGGAUGACUUGUGGCUGGGGGUGAAAGGCCAAUCAAACCGGGAGAUAGCUGGUUCUCCCCGAAAUCUAUUUAGGUAGAGCCUUGAGCGGACACCUUCGGGGGUAGAGCACUGUUUCGGCUAGGGGUCCAUCCCGGAUUACCAACCCGAUGCAAACUACGAAUACCGAAGAGUGAUACUCAGGAGACACACGGCGGGUGCUAACGUCCGUCGUGGAGAGGGAAACAACCCAGACCGCCAGCUAAGGUCCCAAAGUCUAUAUUAAGUGGGAAACGAAGUGGGAAGGCUUAGACAGCUAGGAUGUUGGCUUAGAAGCAGCCAUCAUUUAAAGAAAGCGUAAUAGCUCACUAGUCGAGUCGGCCUGCGCGGAAGAUGUAACGGGGCUCAAAUAUAGCACCGAAGCUGCGGCAUCAGACGAAAGUCUGUUGGGUAGGGGAGCGUUCUGUAAGCGGAUGAAGGUGAAUCGAGAGGUUUGCUGGACGUAUCAGAAGUGCGAAUGCUGACAUAAGUAACGAUAAAACGGGUGAAAAACCCGUUCGCCGGAAGACCAAGGGUUCCUGUCCAACGUUAAUCGGGGCAGGGUGAGUCGGCCCCUAAGGCGAGGCUGAAAAGCGUAGUCGAUGGGAAACGGGUUAAUAUUCCCGUACUUGGAUAAACUGCGAUGUGGGGACGGAGCAGGUUAGGUUAUCGCACUGUUGGAUAUGUGCGUUUAAGUUGGUAGGUGAGAAGUUUAGGCAAAUCCGGACUUCUUUAACACUGAGAGAUGAUGACGAGGCUCUACGGAGCUGAAGUAACCGAUACCACACUUCCAGGAAAAGCCACUAAGCUUCAGGUUUAUCUAAACCGUACUGAAAACCGACACAGGUGGUCAGGUAGAGAAUACUCAGGCGCUUGAGAGAACUCGGGUGAAGGAACUAGGCAAAAUAGCACCGUAACUUCGGGAGAAGGUGCGCCGGCGUAGAUUGUAGUCCCUUGCGGGCGAAGGUUGAACCGGUCGAAGAUACCAGCUGGCUGCAACUGUUUAUUAAAAACACAGCACUCUGCAAACACGAAAGUGGACGUAUAGGGUGUGAUGCCUGCCCGGUGCUGGAAGGUUAAUUGAUGGUGUAAUCGAAAGAGAAGCUCCUGAUCGAAGCCCCAGUAAACGGCGGCCGUAACUAUAACGGUCCUAAGGUAGCGAAAUUCCUUGUCGGGUAAGUUCCGAC
rnacentral:rRNA from 1 species